AUUGAACGCUGGCGGCAUGCCUUACACAUGCAAGUCGAACGGUAACAGGUUAAGCUGACGAGUGGCGAACGGGUGAGUAAUAUAUCGGAACGUGCCCAGUCGUGGGGGAUAACUGCUCGAAAGAGCAGCUAAUACCGCAUACGACCUGAGGGUGAAAGCGGGGGAUCGCAAGACCUCGCGCGAUUGGAGCGGCCGAUAUCAGAUUAGGUAGUUGGUGAGGUAAAGGCUCACCAAGCCGACGAUCUGUAGCUGGUCUGAGAGGACGACCAGCCACACUGGGACUGAGACACGGCCCAGACUCCUACGGGAGGCAGCAGUGGGGAAUUUUGGACAAUGGGCGCAAGCCUGAUCCAGCCAUGCCGCGUGCGGGAAGAAGGCCUUCGGGUUGUAAACCGCUUUUGUCAGGGAAGAAAAGGUUCUGGCUAAUACCUGGGACUCAUGACGGUACCUGAAGAAUAAGCACCGGCUAACUACGUG
rnacentral:rRNA from 1 species